GAUGAACGCUGGCGGCGUGCUUAACACAUGCAAGUCGAACGAAGCUCCCAGAUCUGAUGAUUCGUCUGAAGUGAAGGGAAGACUUAGUGGCGGACGGGUGAGUAACGCGUGGGUAACCUGCCUUACACAGGGGGACAACAGUUGGAAACGACUGCUAAUACCGCAUAAGCGCACGGUAUCGCAUGAUGCAGUGUGAAAAGAUUUAUCGGUGUAAGAUGGACCCGCGUCUGAUUAGAUAGUUGGUGAGGUAACGGCUCACCAAGUCGACGAUCAGUAGCCGGCCUGAGAGGGUGAACGGCCACAUUGGGACUGAGACACGGCCCAAACUCC
rnacentral:rRNA from 1 species